rnacentral:misc_RNA from 1 species
AUCAUCCUCUGAAAGAAAUGAAUAUUUAAGGAUUGGAGGACAGAUCUUGAAAUGUGGAUUUACGUUAAUUUAUGAUCUUGGUUUCAUGCUCAUUGCAGCAGUCUGGUUGAUCGCUGGAACAGCUUCAGUCAUCGAACCCUACAGACAUAUUUUGGGAGAGGACAUCACCACGGCUUUCGGAACCCUUAAAAAUACUUCUGACAUCCUUGUAAGCAAGAUUAACAUCCAGGUUGUAACAGAACAUCUUAACGACUCCAGCCAACCUCAAACCAACCUGGAUGGAACUCUAGAGUGUGAUAUAGUUCUAUACUAUCUGACAAUAGUUGUUCUUAUCACAGGCUGGAUUAUUAUUGGACUGGGUGCUCUGUAUAUCCUGUUUUUCAAGAUAUUUUAUCCUCUCUUCUGCUGCAAGCCCUGCAAAGACAACAGACAUGGAGAUAUGGAUAUCAUGCAUAUAUAAUACUUCAACAUCAAAUACAACACCAUGCAAGAAGAUAAAAUAGGAAAUAUGAAGUUUUAAAAACUAAAACAAAAAAAUUGUACUAGUCUGCCAACUUAUCUCCAUUUAUUGAGCAUUUUCUACACUUUGAUUUUGACAUUUGAAUUUAGCAUAGACCUGAUGACUUGCCUCAAACUCAUACAAUAGCAACUAAUUAACUUUAACUGUGUUUCUAUGGAUUUUAUACAUUUUGAGAAAGCAAAGGUUUACACCAUCAUAUUGAAUUGUGAAGACAUAAAGAUUAGAAAUUAAGAAUUUAACUUUAUCCCUUAUCCUUUAUCCCUAGUUUUUAUUGAACAAUUUAAACAUUUUUAUUUAGAAUUUUCGGAUUUGAUAUAAAGUAAACCAGGCAAUUGAUAAAUUGUUCUAAACUCAAAAUUUUCUAAUUGCUAUAACACUACAAUCUAGUGACGUUUCAUCCUUAUAUGUUUCAAACUAAGAUUAUUUCAUUUAGCUGACUUCGUAGUUAGAAAUAUCAAAAGCUUAAUUUGUUGAAAGUAUCUGGAUGCAAAGAUAUAGGGGUUUGAAAAUUGGAGUUUGAGGCUAGUAAUUAAAAAGCUUUCAAAAUUAUAAUUUUCAAUGUGAAAGCGGUGCUAAUUUGCUUCAUUCUGUACAUUUGUACAAUAAUACUGUACACAUCCAAAGUAUGUGAACCACUGUACAUAGUAUCAUUUUUUAAUCUUUAAAUUAUAUUAACUUUAGAAUUUGUAGUUUCAGUUCUGCAAAGUACAACAAAAUUACUGUAGUUCUUCCGUUCCUGCAUUAUGAAUUUAUAAACUCACAGAAAAGUUUCUUGAAAAAACUGGCAAUAAAAACUUUGUUAGUCUCAAUUUUCUGAAAUUCUAGGACAACAUGUCACUGGAAAUAAAGUCCUGAGUUUUAGGUUCCUGGGACUUUUUUCCUAAAAUAAUAUGGAGGCUGCCAAUAAAGUCUCAGGAAAUAAAAUCGAAGGAAUUAAAGUCCCGAAGAAAAAAAAACCAAGAAUAUAAGUCUUAAGUGAAAAUGAGGUCAUGUCUGAGUUGUUUUCAUAAAGAAAACUUUUCUUCUAACCAUUGUGUCAAAAUUAGGACACUUUUUUUAUAAUUUUUAUAAUCAAAUAAUUUCUGAAUUUUAGAGUGAUAUAAAUCUGAUUUUUUUAAGUAAAAUCUCAAACAAUAAAAGUAUUGUAUCUCUUUUUAUACUCAAACUAUUGAAAACUUCUCACGCAGAUGAUUUAACUACGAAAUUUAAAAAGGUUAAAUUUUUAGGUUUUAUGCUAAUAAUAGAAUAGUUUCUAAAUGUUUGAUUUUCAAUAACUUAACAUUCUUUUAUUCAACACGCGUUGGUUUUUUAGACGUCUGAGUUUUAAAGGCUGCAUGGCUUUACAGUGUAAAGGAUUGAAGUAUUUAGAAAAGAGGAUGUAUUUUUCAUUGCCAAGCCAAGAUAAAUGUUUAGAAUUCAUGAUUUUACUUUAGAAUAUGAAUCUUUAAAGUUAUGGUUACGAGCACAUAUACAGAAAGACAGAAGUGUUUAUGAUUUCAAAGAUUUAUCUGUAUUUAUAUGUAUAUCCAUUUUAUUAAUAUUCUUCACAGCAUCUGCAUAUUGAAUGCUGACAGAAGUAGUUUUAAUAUUAAGCCCCUUUUUUAAUGAUUGCAAACAUUCUAUGUUUCCAUGCAUUUUCUGCUAUAAUAGGACUUUUUUCCGGGGACGGUUUUGUAAAAAAUCAUACUGGAACCAGAAAAAAAUUCUAGAAUAUUAAGUCUGAAAAAUGAUAGGACUUCAUUUAAAACUUUUGUUUCUAGGACUUUUUUUCCAGAGGACUUUUUUAGUACCAAAAUUUAGGACUUUAUUUCCGAAAACUUUUUUCCAGAGAACUUUUUUGUCGGUUACCUGCAUGAUAUACUGGAUGAUAUUCAAACCUUUCACUGAGAAUCAGAAAUAACAAAUUCUUAUUUAUUUAUGUUUUUUUACAAUAAACUAUUUUAUCAAUGUA